rnacentral:rRNA from 1 species
AUUGAACGCUGGCGGCAUGCCUUACACAUGCAAGUCGAACGGCAGCACGGGAGCAAUCCUGGUGGCGAGUGGCGAACGGGUGAGUAAUACAUCGGAACGUGCCCAAUCGUGGGGGAUAACGUAGCGAAAGCUACGCUAAUACCGCAUACGAACUACGGAUGAAAGCGGGGGAUCGCAAGACCUCGCGCGAAUGGAGAGGCCGAUGGCAGAUUAGGUAGUUGGUGAGGUAAAGGCUCACCAAGCCUGCGAUCUGUAGCUGGUCUGAGAGGACGACCAGCCACACUGGGACUGAGACACGGCCCAGACUCCUACGGGAGGCAGCAGUGGGGAAUUUUGGACAAUGGGCGCAAGCCUGAUCCAGCAAUGCCGCGUGCAGGAUGAAGGCCUUCGGGUUGUAAACUGCUUUUGUACGGAACGAAACGGUCCUUUCUAAUACAAGGGGCUAAUGACGGUACCGUAAGAAUAAGCACCGGCUAACUACGUGCCAGCCGCCGCGGUAA